ACUCCCUCCAGGGAAUUCACAUUCCAGUAUCCAUAGCCACAGGAGGACGAGGGCUCCGAGAGUGGACAGCACAGAUGCGGGAUAUUUUUAUCAUGGUACGAAAUCCUCUGGGGCAGCGUUGUAAGGCAGCAUGGUGAGGGCUAGAAUUGUGGGCACUAUGCGGUUUCCACUUGAUGCCCUUUUACCUUCGUGGCUGCUCCAAACCUCCGCUGGCUCAAGCUUUGUAACCUGCCACUUCCUCAUCACUUGGAACCCCGGGCUGUGACGUCAGCGCCGUAAAGGAAGUAGCAUGAGGUAUGGGGCUUUCUUCCGGUCUUUUAGAGCAUCAUCUUCACUGUGUCCUGUACCUGUGCUUCUCUGCGUUGUCUCCAGUGCUUGCCGUUUUCAUUGCUCUUUCUUAGCUUAAUGCGUUCCUGGUCGCCUAAAGUAGACUUGGGAAAUAAGAAAACACAAGCACGUUUGGAAUUCCUCUCCCACCCAGAGCUCCAACUUGGAUCAUUAACUGCCUGGAAACGGUGAAUGCCAUACAAAGGAUGCGAUGGCACAGUGAACGGCGCUUAUGCCAGAAGAAAACCAUGUAUGGGUGCAUUAUUAAAGUGCCAAGGAGAGUCAGGAGUCCACCAAGA
rnacentral:lncRNA from 1 species